UACGUAGGGGGCAAGCGUUGUCCGGAAUCAUUGGGCGUAAAGAGCGUGUAGGCGGCCAGAUAAGUCCGCUGUGAAAUCUCGAGGCUCAACUUCGAGCUGUCGGUGGAAACUGUCUGGCUAGAGUCCGGAAGAGGAGAAUGGAAUUCCUGGUGUAGCGGUGAAAUGCGCAGAUAUCAGGAAGAACACCCGUGGCGAAGGCGGUUCUCUGGGCCAUUACUGACGCUGAGGAGCGAAAGCGUGGGGAGCGAACAGG
rnacentral:rRNA from 1 species